GCCAGUCCGCGCCGAAGCAACCCGUUCGCUCCCUUGCGCUAGAAUGAACCGCGCGUCCCGCUAAAAACGUCGUUUUUACAUGAUGUCUCGAAUUUUAACGUCGAAACUUCGUGAGCGAUAAAUCAAGAAAAAGGUCCCCGUAUAUGUAAGUGGAUAGCGAUAACAUAUUUCUAAAUUGUUUACUUUCUUCAGACACGCAAGAUCGAACGCAGCGUUUCCGUUGUAAUUAAGAUGCAUAAUUUAUUACACAAUUUAUUCCUCACCCUAUUUAACAAAACAUGUUUAUACAUCCUUUGUUACAUUGCACUAUAUAUAUAAUUAUGUAUAUGUAUUGUCAUAAAAUACCUAAUCCUG